AUGAAGUCACCUCUGUUGGUCUGCUUGGUGUCACAGGAGAGGGCAAACAGUGCUUGGGGACUACCACCAGAAGUCUGUAAUCCAGAAGAAGCCUCCUGGCAAGCUAGAACCAGCUCAGGGAGGGGGCAGGCUUCUCCUUUUGUUUCUAGUCCCCCAGGAGUGGCAUGCCCUAGGCUCCAGUUCGAAUCAGUCAUCAUCACUGUCACCCCCUCCUCUCAACAUCAACAAGGAUUUAUUAAAUAUUUAUAUGAAGAAUACUGUGGAGGACACCCAAAGUUCAUGAAAAUGUAGUUGGGGAGAUGGGACAGAGCCUUGAAAAGGUGGAAUAAGCUUUUUGAAGUUGGAAGAACAGUGAGAAGACCAUUAAAAACCAACUGCUAACCAUUGCUAUGAAGAAAAAAUGUUUGCCAGGG
rnacentral:lncRNA from 1 species